GAUGAACGCUAGCUACAGGCUUAACACAUGCAAGUCGAGGGGCAGCGCAGUGUAGCAAUACAUGGGCGGCGACCGGCGCACGGGUGCGUAACGCGUAUCCAACCUUCCCGUUACUCAGGGAUAGCCUUCCGAAAGGGAGAUUAAUACCUGAUGGUGUUCAAAUUCCGCAUGUUAUUUGAACUAAAGAUUUAUCGGUAACGGAUGGGGAUGCGUGACAUUAGGUAGAUGGCGGGGUAACGGCCCACCAUGCCUACGAUUUCUAGGGGUUCUGGGAGGAAGGUCCCCCACACUGGAACUGGGACACGGUCCAGACUCCUACGGGAGGCAGCAGUGAGGAAGAUUGGUCAAUGGCCGGAAGGCUGAACCAGCCAAGUAGCGUGAAGGAUGAAGGUUCUAUGGAUUGUAAACUUCUUUUAUACGGGAAUAAAACCACCUACGUGUAGGUGCUUGUAUGUACCGUAUGAAUAAGCAUCGGCUAACUCCGUGCCAGCCGCCGCGGUAAAAC
rnacentral:rRNA from 1 species